rnacentral:rRNA from 1 species
CUCCGGUUGAUCCUGCCGGACCCGACUGCUAUCAGAGUGAGAUUAAGCCAUGCGAGUUAACGUAGCAAUACGUGGCGCACGGCUCAGUAACACGUAGUCAACAUGCCCAGAGGACGUGGAUAACCUCGGGAAACUGAGUCUAAACCGCGAUAAGUGAGGAUUUCUGGAAUGGUUCCUGACUAAAAUCUAUAUGGCCUCUGGAUUGGACUGCGGCCGAUCAGGCUGUUGGUGAGGUAAUGGCCCACCAAACCUGUAACCGGUACGGGCUCUGAGAGGAGGAGCCCGGAGAUGGGCACUGAGACAAGGGCCCAGGCCCUAUGGGGCGCAGCAGGCGCGAAACCUCUGCAAUAGGCGAAAGCCUGACAGGGUUACUCUGAGUGACUUUCGCUAAGAAAGUCUUUUGGUACCUCUAAAAAGGGUGCAGAAUAAGGGGUGGGCAAGUCUGGUGUCAGCCGCCGCGGUAAUACCAGCACCCCGAGUGGUCGGGACGUUUAUUGGGCCUAAAGCAUCCGUAGCCGGUUCUACAAGUCUUCCGUUAAAUCCACCUGCUUAACAGAUGGGCUGCGGAAGAUACUAUAGAGCUAGGAGGCGGGAGAGGCAAGCGGUACUCGAUGGGUAGGGGUAAAAUCCGUUGAUCCAUUGAAGACCACCAGUGGCGAAGGCGGCUUGCCAGAACGCGCUCGACGGUGAGGGAUGAAAGCUGGGGGAGCAAACCGGAUUAGAUACCCGGGUAGUCCCAGCCGUAAACGAUGCAGACUCGGUGAUGGGUUGGCUUCGCGCUAACCCAGUGCCGCAGGGAAGCCGUUAAGUCUGCCGCCUGGGUAGUACGGUCGCAAGACUGAAACUUAAAGGAAUUGGCGGGGGAGCA